GGGGGCGAUCAGGAUUCGACGACGGUUACAAAACCUUAGGUGCAUGUCGAGCGCGUAGCUGCUCUCGUUAAACCAAUAGCUACAAUUUUUAGUUGCAAACCAAGACAACUACCAAGGAGCUAUGGCAGCUUAAACCCUGCCUCCUCCCGAUCACUCCGGCUUGCCUGUUGGCUGGUACUGAUCGCAAACGCAAACAGGAUCGCCAUGAAGUAUGCCUGAGGCGGACUGGUUAAAACUUUUCAGGAUCGCGUAGUGUCACCCUGACCGUUGGGUCGUUCUGCGUUAACCUAAAGACGGAAUCUAAACAUGUAGAGCCGAGGGCGGAGAAUCGGCGGACGCGGGUUCAAAUCCCGCCGCCUCCACCA
rnacentral:tmRNA from 1 species